GACGAACGCUGGCGGCGUGCUUAACACAUGCAAGUCGAGCGAACAGACGAGGAGCUUGCUCCUCUGACGGUAGCCGCGGACGGGAGAGUAACAUGAGGAGAACUUACCUAUAAGACUGGGAUAACUACGGGAAACCGGUGCUAAUACGGGAUAAUAUCUUGAUCCGCAGGGUUGAAUAGUGAAAGACGGUUUUGCUGUACCUUCUAGAUGGAUCCGGGCGGGUUUGGUUAGUUGGUACGGUAACGGCUUACGAAGGCGACGAUGCGUUGCCGACCUGACAGCGUGUUCGGCGACACUGGAGCUGAGCCGCGGUCCUGGGACCUACGGGAGGCAGCAGCUGCGAAUGGUCGGAAAUGGGGGGAAGCCUGACGGAGCGGCGGCAGGUGGGUGAUGAAAGUCUUCGGGUCGUAAGACUGUGUUAGGGGUGAAAAACGCAUUUAGAAGGAGCUAUGCACGUCUUGACGGUACCUGCUCAAGAAGCAACGGCUAACUACGUG
rnacentral:rRNA from 1 species